rnacentral:tRNA from 1 species
GGCUGGUAUGGUUCAGUGGUUAGAAUCUUCGGUUGUGGUCCGAAGGGCCCGAGUUCGAUUCUCGGUACCGGCCU